CUGUAUUGCCAGCUUUUCCCUAUCCAUUGCUUCCUGUUAUCCCCAAUAGUUCUUCACUUCUUCCUUUUCACACACAAAGAGAUCCUUUUCACACGCAAAGAGAGAGAAUAAAAAGAGUGGCCGGGCCGGACCGAUGACCACGACAACCACCGCACAAGAGCAAAAUUGGUGAUGGUGGUUCGUUGUGGUCAGCAGCCGCAAUUUGGAUAAGGGUUUGGACUUUGGAGGCGGCAGCGAUGUCCACAAAGGUUAGGAUUCCAGUGGCAUUGGGUAAGUUCUGAUGAUACAACGUCGACAACAGGAACUUAAAUCGAGCCGAGGCAUUUGGAGUGAAGGAUUAUCUUUCGGCAUCUCUAGACCGUUUGAUAAAAGACAAAGAUCUUCAAACUGGUGAAAGUUUUGCUUCUGCUCGCAGUGGGUUUGAUCCACUAACAACGACAAUAACGACUGGUUUAUCAAUGUCUGUUCAACUGGACAUGUUCAAACAAUAUCUUGGAAAGCUUAAGAGGAACAUUGAAGAAGAAGCUGCCGAUAAUAUAAUCAACAAUAGCGUAGCUGUGAUCGUUGCAAGCAACAACGAUCUGUUGUUUACCCUUCUUAUCAGAAGAUUACAAUAUGAUGCUGCAUCUUAUGCUAACAUGAUCGUUAACAUGGUCUUGAAUCUCACACAGGGGAUCGCUAGAAUGAAGAUGGGGUAAUGGGAAGAUGUAUGGUAGGUGCAAUUAUUAUAAAUUAAAGGUAACUAAGAAAUCAAAAUCAAACCUCAAGUCACUUGGUGGUAACGCAGAAGAAGUGGUUGUAUUAGAUCUCUCUGAUGAAGGACAUGUUCGGUAGAUCUGUUCCAAAGGUCUAGGUCUUGGAUUUUUUUCCGAGUGGAUCAAAGUAAAGGUUUCACUGAUAUUCAGAUUUAACAAUAGCAUGGAAGUGCAAAAGAGUUAUACACAAGUUAGGGGCUGUUUGGUAGCCUCUGAAUGGUCAUUAAGAGGCUACCUCUUAAUGGAACUAUUAAGAAUUUUACCAAUGAGAAGGUAGAAAAAUGUGACAUGUGAUGAUUUACCAUUCAGAGGUUACCUCUUAACCAUUCAGACUUGAGGUUACCUCUUAUUCAUUCAGAGGUUUUUAAACCAUUAAGAGGUAGCAUCUGAAUGGUCAUUAAGAGGCUACCAAACAGCCCCUUAGUGUUGGUCAGAUGUGGCAAGCAAGGUACAAAAAUAUUGUUAUUAGUUGCAAGUUAAGUAAGAGAAGGAAUAUUGAGUUGAAUAUAUCAAGCCAACCAAUGUGGAUUGAUUUGACUCAUAAACUCUUUUUUUUUUUUAGUUUUUCACCUAUGUUAUUAGUUUAUAUUACAACUGACGUUUUAUUGUUGCGUGUCAGCGCCCAAAACAUGGUUGUGUUGCGAUCUCCUUGGGGUUCUAAAUCGAAGAGAUUUCAUGUGUAAUAACUUAAAUGGAAGUAUACCUAAUGGGAGGUGAAAUAUUUCAUCUUUAGCACUCUUGCACAUUAUAUAUAGCACUCUUGCACAUUAAAUUGUUAUGAAGUGAUGUUGCAAGUUUUAGUGUUGUGUUUUCCACUGUUGAUGCAAUUUAGUGAUCAUAUGCACCUACCUUUACGUUAGGGAGAACUUGAAGUAUAAAAAGGCUACAACCUUCGUGUUUUUCAUAUUUGUUGUAAUUAUUCGUGUUUCUUCUUUCCUA